GCGCGCUGGGUGCGAUGAAAGUCGCAUGCCCAGCGGUGAGCGGGGGAAAAGGUGGAGAUAACUUCAAAACCUUACCUAUCGCUAU
rnacentral:autocatalytically_spliced_intron from 1 species